rnacentral:tRNA from 1 species
GUCAGAUUGGCCGAGCGGUCUAAGGCGCCAGACUUAAGUUCUGGUUCCCAAAAGGGAGCGUGGGUUCGAACCCCACAUCUGACA